AUACGGAGGGGGCUAGCGUUGUUCGGAAUUACUGGGCGUAAAGCGCGCGUAGGCGGCUUAUCAAGUUAGGCGUGAAAGGCCUGGGCUCAACCCGGGAACUGCGCUUAAUACUGGUAGACUUGAGUCCGGGAGAGGGUGGCGGAAUUCCCAGUGUAGAGGUGAAAUUCGUAGAUAUUGGGAAGAACACCAGUGGCGAAGGCGGCCACCUGGCCCGGUACUGACGCUGAGGUGCGAAAGCGUGGGGAGCAAACAGGAUUAGAAACCCGGGUAGUCC
rnacentral:rRNA from 1 species